CUAGCGGCAGGCUUACACAUGCAAGUCGAGGGGUAUUGGUUUUCGGACCAAGAGACCGGCGCACGGGUGCGUAACGCGUAUGCAAUCUACCUUUCACAGAGGGAUAGCCCAGAGAAAUUUGGAUUAAUACCUCAUAGUAUAAUUGAAUGGCAUCAUUUGAUUAUUAAAGUCACAACGGUGAAAGAUGAGCAUGCGUCCCAUUAGCUUGUUGGUAAGGUAACGGCUUACCAAGGCAACGAUGGGUAGGGGUCCUGAGAGGGAGAUCCCCCACACUGGUACUGAGACACGGACCAGACUCCUACGGGAGGCAGCAGUGAGGAAUAUUGGACAAUGGGCGCAAGCCUGAUCCAGCCAUGCCGCGUGCAGGAUGACGGUCCUAUGGAUUGUAAACUGCUUUUGUACAGGAAGAAACAGUUCUACGUGUAGAACCUUGACGGUACUGUAAGAAUAAGGAUCGGCUAACUCCGUGCCAGCAGCCGCGGUAAUACGGAGGAUCCAAGCGUUAUCCGGAAUCAUUGGGUUUAAAGGGUCCGUAGGCGGCCUUAUAAGUCAGUGGUGAAAUCUCCCCGCUCAACGGGGAAACGGCCAUUGAUACUGUAGG
rnacentral:rRNA from 1 species